AAUAAUUCUAUUUUUCAGUUUUUUGAUACAAUAUUUUGACUCUUCGUCUUAUUUGAAAUUUUUUCGCGAGUAAUAUUUUUAUUCUUACUAGAUGAUAAAAUAUAAAUAGUAUUUUAUGCGUGCCUAAUUUUUUUAAGUUUUUAUAAAUUUUUUUAAAUAAGACGGAUGGUCAAACGUUUGAUACGGAAAAGUAAAAGAUAAAGUUAUU
rnacentral:pre_miRNA from 1 species